AAUCCUUCUGCUCCUAGGUGGCAGCUCUGGGACCCGGCUCGCGGCAAGGCUAUGGGACAACGUGUGCCAAGAUGAGCCUCCAGAGGCCACCCAGGGAAAGGGACCGAUCGACUGCAGCUGUGGGAGAAGAUACUGCACCAACUAUGUGAUUUCUGGAUUCAGCU
rnacentral:lncRNA from 1 species